UACGAAGGGGGCUAGCGUUGCUCGGAAUCACUGGGCGUAAAGGGUGCGUAGGUGGCUUGUUAAGUCAGACGUGAAAUCCCUCGGCUCAACCGGGGAACUGCGUCUGAGACUGAUGAGCUCGAGUGCAGGAGAGGAACGCGGAAUUCCAGGUGUAGCGGUGAAAUGCGUAGAUAUCUGGAGGAACACCGGUGGCGAAGGCGGCGUUCUGGACUGCAACUGACACUGAGGAACGAAAGCCAGGGGAGCAAACGGG
rnacentral:rRNA from 1 species